rnacentral:rRNA from 1 species
CUACGGGUUGCAGCCGUGAGGAAUAUUGCACAAUGGGGGGAACCCUGAUGCAGCAACGCCGCGUGGAGGAUGACGCAUUUCGGUGUGUAAACUCCUUUUAUAUGUCAAGAAAAUGACGGUAGCAUAUGAAUAAGCACCGGCUAACUCCGUGCCAGCAGCCGCGGUAAUACGGAGGGUGCAAGCGUUACUCGGAAUCACUGGGCGUAAAGGACGCGUAGGCGGGUUGGAAAGUCAGGUGUGAAAUCCUACAGCUUAACUGUAGAACUGCACUUGAAACUUCUCAAUCUAGAGUAUGGGAGGGGGAGAUGGAAUUAGUGGUGUAGGGGUAAAAUCCGUAGAUAUCACUAGGAAUACCUAAAGCGAAGGCGAUCUCCUGGAACAUUACUGACGCUAAGGCGUGAAAGCGUGGGGAGCAAACAGGAUUAGAUACCCCCGUAGUC